rnacentral:rRNA from 1 species
AGGAUAAACGCUGGCGGCGUGCCUAACACAUGCAAGUCGAACGUCUCUUCUUUCGGGAAGAGGAGUGGCGGACGGGUGAGGAACACGUGGGAACCUGCCCUUCAGUGAGGAAUACCGGCGAGAAAUCGCCGACAAGACCGCAUAGCCCUCUCUGGUGAGAGCCAGAGAAGGAAAGCUUCGCAAGAGGCGCUGGAGGAGGGGCCUGCGUCCGAUUAGCUAGUUGGUGGGGUAAGAGCCUACCAAGGCGUCGAUCGGUAGCUGGUCUGAGAGGACGAUCAGCCACACUGGGAUUGAGAACGGCCCAGACUCCUACGGGGGGCAGCAGUGAGGAAUUUUCCGCAAUGGGCGCAAGCCUGACGGAGCAACGCCGCGUGCAGGACGACGGCCUUCGGGUUGUAAACUGCUUUUCUGGGGGACGAGCAAGGACGGUACCCCAGGAAUCAGCCCCGGCUAACUACGUGCCAGCAGCCGC